UACGUAGGAUGCAAGCGUUGUUCGGAAUUACUGGGCGUAAAGAGUACGUAGGCGGUAUGGUAAGUCUGAUAUUAAAGACUGGGGCUUAACUCCAGGAAUGUAUCGGAAACUGCCAGACUAGAGGACAAUAGAGGAAGUCGGAAUUCUCAGUGUAGCGGUGAAAUGCGUAGAUAUUGGGAAGAACACCAGUGGCGAAAGCGGACUUCUGGGUUGUUACUGACGCUGAGGUACGGAAAGCGUGGGGAGCAAACGGG
rnacentral:rRNA from 1 species